AGUAACGCGUGAGGAACCUGCCUCAAAGAGGGGGACAACAGUUGGAAACGACUGCUAAUACCGCAUAAGCCCACGGCUCGGCAUCGAGCAGAGGGAAAAGGAGUGAUCCGCUUUGAGAUGGCCUCGCGUCCGAUUAGCUAGUUGGUGAGGUAACAGCCCACCAAGGCGACGAUCGGUAGCCGGACUGAGAGGUUGAACGGCCACAUUGGGACUGAGACACGGCCCAG
rnacentral:rRNA from 1 species